GGGUCAGCGACUUAUAUUCUGUAGCAAGGUUAACCGAAUAGGGGAGCCGGAGGGAAACCGAGUCUUAAUUGGGCGUUAAGUUGCAGGGUAUAGACCCGAAACCCGGUGAUCUAGCCAUGGGCAGGUUGAAGGUUGGGUAACACUAACUGGAGGACCGAACCGACUAAUGUUGAAAAAUUAGCGGAUGACCUGUGGCUGGGGGUGAAAGGCCAAUCAAACCGGGAGAUAGCUGGUUCUCCCCGAAAGCUAUUUAGGUAGCGCCUCGUGAAUUCAUCUCCGGGGGUAGAGCACUGUUUCGGCUAGGGGGCCAUCCCGGCUUACCAACCCGAUGCAAACUGCGAAUACCGGAGAAUGUUAUCACGGGAGACACACGGCGGGUGCUAACGUCCGUCGUGAAGAGGGAAACAACCCAGACCGCCAGCUAAGGUCCCAAAGUCAUGGUUAAGUGGGAAACGAUGUGGGAAGGCCCAGACAGCCAGGAUGUUGGCUUAGAAGCAGCCAUCAUUUAAAGAAAGCGUAAUAGCUCACUGGUCGAGUCGGCCUGCGCGGAAGAUGUAACGGGGCUAAACCAUGCACCGAAGCUGCGGCAGCGACACUCAGGUGUUGUUGGGUAGGGGAGCGUUCUGUAAGCCUG
rnacentral:rRNA from 1 species